rnacentral:lncRNA from 1 species
GUCAAAGACCAUUCCUCUGAUUUUCUUUUCUUGCUCUAGUAGUGUUGUUUCAUAACUCAUAAUCUUUUCACUUUUCUUUAAGUAAAGAUGAAUGGUGAAUACAUCAACCAUUCCUUUCACCCAAUCCCUGCACUUAAACACCCUAAAUUCCCCUCACAACUUCUCAGAUCUUAGGAGCACACCAGGCAUCUUUUUCCUCUGCCUCUCGAACUGAACUCCGACGGCUCGAGUUAUGAGCGGCCGGCCGGCGUCCUUGCACCGGCGAACACCCCCACCCCCACACAUGCAACCACGCACAACCCCAUACACCCACACACCUCGGAAAUCAAGAGAGCCGCCGUGUGCGGCGGCAGGAUUAGAGAAACGGGAGCCGGGAGAGAGAGGAGGAUGAUCGACUGCAGAUGGCGGUGGCAGUGUCUCGACAAAUACCGGCGGCGGUAUUUUUAUUUCGGCGAGGUUCAGUCCGGUAACCCCACGAUUCCCUUUAUCUUCUUAUGUUUUUGUUUUUUUUACAUACCCAAGUUCUCCGGUUAGUGGGGUGUUGUUUCAGGGUGGUUGUGGCUGAGUGAAGGUGGCGGUGAAGUCUACGGCAGCCGGUUUCGAUAACCGUAUGGCAGCGGCGGUUAGUGGUGGUGCUUGGUUUGGUUGAGGUUCUCUUCAGAUGUGGUUGGUUCGGGUUCGCGGUGGGUUCGGUUCGUCUGGUUAUAACUCGGUUAACCAAUCCAUAUACCAAGACCAAAAGACUACUACAUCGCUUUGACUAAGCUCCAAUUCUGCAUUUCGGGUCAACACAUCACAGGACAACUCAGUCUCGGUUCGGUCAACCCGGGUCAGACCCGGUCAACUCACUGAGCCAACUCGGGUCAACUCAGUCAGGUCUCGUUUCGGGUCAACGGUUCAAGUUUGGGUUCAGAUUUUAGCUUUGAGAUGUUCGGUUCAAACAGGUCACAGUCAACGGUUCGGGUCAGCAAAUUAGUCAACGCACGUAACUCGAUCAACUUUCAGUCAGCACAGUCUACACCCGGUCAACUCUAGACCCGGAAUGUCAUAGUUGCACGCUAGCUAAUUCACGUUCUUGGAAUGACAUCACGGAAUCAAGUUAAGCUAGCUUUGCACAGGAAUGUCAAGGUUGCAUUUUUAAAACUAAGGAACGGUUGGAAUAGGAGAACCCAUGGAAAUUCGAGUACCUAGCAGGCGUUCACUGUUUAGAAGUCUUAACCUUUUGCUUCCGCUGUGCAAUGAAGAUACCGGUCCAGUUACGCCAGCUCUGAUAAUUUCGGGGUGUGACAACUCACUCCUCAUGCCACUGAGGUCUUCGAUGAGAUCAAGAAACAGGCUGCUGAAAUGUCUGUUUUAAUGGUUGAUUCGGACAAGUAUCAAGUCACAGGUCCGAGAUCACAGUGUGUUGUGAAUGUUAAAAAUAAAACUUGUGCAUGCAGGAAGUGGGAUUUGACAGGGAUGCCUUGCAAACAUGCAGUUGCAGCCAUAUGGGAUAUGUCAAGGAAUAACAUUGAUGUUGGCAUACCAGAAGAGUGGGUGGAUGAAGUGUAUUGGCUGUCAACAUGGAAGAAAGUUUAUUACAAUGUCAUAGAGCCAAUCAACGGGCCGGAGAUGUGGACUCCUUCAGAGUGUCCAACAACACUCAUCCCACCAAAGCAUCAUGCACAAGUUGGAAGGCCAAAGAAGAAAAGAAAGAAGGCAUAUGGUGAAAAAGAGCUUGAGUAGGAGUUCGACAAAGGAGGUAAAAUGACCAGAAAGGGUAGUAGCAUCAAGUGUGGUAAAUGUGGGAAUAUGGGUCACAAUGUCAGGAGCUGCAAAGGACAAGGGGCUGAACAAUCCAUUGCUUCACAGGAAUCACACACUGCCACUCAAGGUGCACCAGUUUACAAUCUUGAUGAGUGAUGGAUGGUUUGUAAGUUUAGACUAUGUUUGUUUGUUUGUCAAGUUCGUUCAAGACAAUGUUUGGUUUGUACCUUUAUGUUUGGUUUGUUCAAAACAAUCUUAGGUUUCUACCUUUAUGUAUGGUUUGUUCAAGACAAUGUUAGGUUUGUCAACUUUGGUUUGUACCUUUAUGUAUGGUUUGUUAAGUUUGUAUUUUGG